rnacentral:lncRNA from 1 species
AAGCCCAGGCCGCUGAAGCAGAAGGUGCGAACUUGCUGCACUGCUGGGCCAGCCCCAUCUCUUUGUAUUUUUGAUCUUCCAACUCUUUUGUUGAAUUUUUGUUGAGGUGAUUAUCUUUUUAUGUGCUCUAAUUCUAUUUCUUCUUCUAUGAAUGUUCCUUUUUCUGCAUUUUGGUUUUGUUCUGUGGGUUCAAUAUCUCUCUUAUCUCUCCAAGGAUAUUAAUUACAACUCCCCCCCCAAAUUUGUUUUGGUUCUUUUCUCAUUUUAAUUUUAGAAGCUUUCAGUUCUUCCGUUUUGUUUCUAAUUAAGAUCAAGGCCCUAAAAAGUGAAUAGGAAGUUCUGUGGGUGUGGGCUGCAUUUCUGCACUGCUGAACCUGCUGUGUUUGCCAUGACUGACCAGCCAGCUUCUGUGUUUUGAAACCCCCAAAUGUCUCUAUUCCUAAUGGGGUUUUCUGUGAGGCAGCAUAUUCUGUCUUACACCUGCUGAGGGGGAAUUAACAUGGCUACCAGCUUUCUGGAAUUUGGUGGAAAAAGGAAAGCAUGGGAUCCAUAGUUUAGCAAGCCAGCUUUAGCUUAAUUUCAUGUUUUUGCCAAUAUAGUACCUUGCUGUCUUCUGUGCCUUGUGCCUGAGGUGUGUGAGAGGUGGGGUAGUCAUCUGAAGGGACUCAGAGUGGGCAGGGACAAGGGAUGAGGGCUUAAUUGCUCCCUAUGUGGUUUUUAAAUACUCUCCGUGAUAUCUUCAAAUCAUUCCUUGUAAUCCCAAUACCUGAGCCUUUCCAGGGUUGUUAGGAGCCAAACGUGUUAGUAAAUCCAUGUGCAAGAUUUCCUUCCCCUCACUCUUCUAAGUUAUUCCUCCAUUUACUUCAGUCUUCAAACACUGGGGCUCAGGGUUACAGAAGUCUACUUACUUUCUAAAGAGAUAUUUUUAUAUCUGUUUGUUUUCAUUUUGUCUUCCUGGAUUUUAGGGGGUUGGAUUUUGAGAGGAGAGAACAUGGAAAUGUCGAUUGCACCAACUCAAAAUCGCAAAUCCCAUGAUCAGAUAUGGAGAAAGAGAUUCUCAUUGUUACCAAACUUGUCAAAAUUUAUUUUUAAAAAGAACAAUUUAUUAAUUAGUACUUAUCAAAAUUAUCGCAAAGUAAAUUAGAAUAUUUCUAAGGGCUGCUGAAAGCCAUCUUGUCCUACUAGGAAAGUCAACUUAAGAAACCAAAUAAAGAUGUAAGCAUUUCUGGUGGGUAUUGAAUCAGAGCAGAGAAAGUUAAGGGAUCCUUCUGGUUAACGUUAUGACAUUAUCCUAGGUGCCUGCCAAGAUCAACAGAACACUUAUAUGGGGCAGCCAGGGAACUCUUACCACUGGACAGUUCUGCUAAUACAGAGACAAAUUUCUAUUUUUCUUUCUCGGUUCUUCCUGCAGACUAUCGAUAUCUACUGCUACAACAAUACAUUUUACAAUUAUUUUGUGAGAAAGGAACAAACAUUUAUUGAGUGUCCACUCUGCACCAUAUACAGUACUGUGGCUUAUGCAUUUUUAUUAUUAUUAUUUCCUUAUGAUAAAAAGCUUAUGUAUUUUUAGCGAGAUUUUAGGGAAGUAUCUGGUUUCUAGAUGAAAUUUAAGAGAUUACUAUCAUUUACUUGAAUCAUUUCCUGGGAAAUGUUUCACAUGUGGCUAACUACAUUCAUUUUAUAAUGAUUUUUGUAGUUUUUAAUUGAGUUGUUGAUUUUCUCUGUUUGUUCAUAGUUCUGUACAUAAGUCCUUUGUUUACCGAUAACGUACAUUGACUACAUACUCAACAUUGUACAAAAUCUCCCUUACUUGUUUUUCCACAGAAAACAAGGAGCAUGAAAUCUUUGUGUUUGAAGAGGUCUUAAAAAAGCAGGUCAGAGUCCCAAACUAAACACAAACCCUCACUCAAGUUUGGAGAAAAGCCAAAAAAUAAAAAAAGGAGGAAAAGGAAAAUUUUAAAUUGUAAUGUAAAAACACCCACAUACAACAACAACAAAAAUGUACUUUUCUAAUCACUGCACAUUCUUAUGCUUCCUGGCCAGAACCGAAGCAACACUGAAGAGUUUUUCUGCGGCUGGAUUCUGCUCUGCAUUUUGCACCUGCUCCUGAGGUGAGCCAGACUGGCAGGGAGAGGAGUCAGCUCCUCAUAGUCAUUUUAUGGAAUAAAUUGUAACAUGAAGAGCAUCUUCAAGAAAUUAUAUCCUACGGCCUUUCUUAAGAUCACCCUGCAAUUUCACCCUGCAAUUUAAGAUGGGCCCUCAGCUAAACACAGGAGGUGAAAUUAGGCAGCAUCCAGAUAGAAUCAAAUUUUGGUAAACAAUUAUUUAAAGGAACUGCUAGUUUCCCACCAUCAUGGCCAGGAAACCAGAAGAUUGUGUUCAUCUCUAUCAUCUCUAUCAAACUAUGAAGAUGAGUGCCUCCAUUCAUCUUGCCUUUCCAAGGGUAUCUUCCAAUUCAGUAAAGGCCACUCUCUUUUGGAAUCUCAAAAUGGACAAGUUGGCCCGAAAGUUCCUAUGAAAAUUCGAAGGACACAAAAUAGUUAAAACAAUCUCGGAAAAAAAAAAAGAAGAUUGGAGAAAUCACACAUCUCACUUUCAAAACUUACCACAAAGCUACAGAAAUCAAGACAGUGUGGUAGUGGCAUAAAUACAGACAUACAGACCCCUGGAAUGAGAUUGAGGGUCCAAAAAUAAAUCCACAUGUCCAUGGUCAAUUGAUUUUCCACAAGGUGUAAAGACUGUGUAAUGGGGAAAGACUGGUCUUUUCAACGUGUGGUGCUGAGACAAGUGGAUAUCCACAUGCAGAAGAAUGAAAUUGGACCCCCACCUCAUGCUAUGUACAAGAAUUAACUUCAAAUAGAUCACAGACCUAACUGUAAGAGCUAAAACUAUAAAUCUCUUAGAAGGAAAAAUAGGUGUAAAUCUGCAUGGUCUUGGAUUAGGCAACAGUUUUUCAGAUAUGACACCAAAAGCAUGAGCAAAAACAACAACAAAAAAUAGAUAUAUUGGACUUCAUUAAAUUAAAUACUUUUGUGUUUCAAAUGACACUGUCAAGAAAACGAAAAUACAACUCAAAGAUUGAGAGAAAAUAUUUGCAAAUCAUAUAACUGAUAAAGGUCUAGUAUUCAGAAUAUACAAAGAAUGUUUACAACUCAACAAUAAAAAGACAAAUAAGCCGAUGAAAAACGGGAAAAGGAUCUGAAUAGACAUUUCUAAAAGGAAGACAUAAAAACAGCCAAUAAGCAUAUUAAAAGAUAAGUGAGAUACAACUUCACAUUCACUAGGAUGGUAAUGAUAAAUUUUUUAAAAAGGAAAACAAUGGAGAGAAUGUAGAGAAAAUGGAAUGCUAAUAUGUUGUACUUUUUGAUAGUGUACAAUUGUAUGUUUUAAAAUAGUGAAUAAAUAAUAAUGAAUAACUAGGAAUGUAAAAUGAUGCAGUUGCUGUGGAAAACAAUUUUGUGGUUUCUCAAAAAGUGAAAUGUGGAAUGACCAUAGGGCCCAACAAUUCCACUCUUAGGUAUAUACUCAAGAGAAUUAAAAAUAUACGUUGACACAAAAAAAUAUACAUCUACACGAAUAUUCAUAGCAGUAUAUUCAUAGUAGCCAAAAAGUGGAAACAGCCCAAAUGUCCAUCAAAUGAUGAAUGAAUAAACAAAAUGUCAUAUGUCCAUAUUAUGGAAUAUUAUUCAGCCACAAAAAAGGAAUGAAGCACUGUUACAUGCUACAACGUGGAUGAACCUUGAAAACAUUAUGCAAAGUGAAAUAAACCAGACACAAAUGUCCACAUAUUGUGUGAUACCGUUUAUAUGGAACGUCCAGAACAGACAAAUCUACAC